rnacentral:rRNA from 1 species
AAUUCGCCCUUUAAUUGUGGGCUUGUAUGAACGGACGAACGAGAGUUUAUCUGUCUCUCUGGUAUUACUAUAAAUUAAUCUCCAGGUGAAGAAGCCUGCCUAAUUCUAAAGGACAAAAAGACCCUAAAGAGCUCCGUUAAUUUUAGUUAUAAUUCUUAAUACUACCUAUAUAAUCUUUACUCUUAAACUUAACUUAACUGGGGCGGUUAAGGAAUACUUUUAAUCUUCCAUUUAACUACACCAGACCAACACGUCACCUAUCUAAUUGACCCUUGUAAGACCACAGAAAUAAGCUACCUUAGGGAUAACAGAUUAAUCCUCCUCAAGAGUACACAUUGACAGGAGGGAUUGACACCUCGAUGUUGGCUUAGGAUUACUUGAGGGUAGCAGAAGCCCUCCAAGUAGGUUUGUUCAACCUUUAAUUUCCU